rnacentral:siRNA from 1 species
GAUAUUUCUCCCAGUUUCCUCC